rnacentral:rRNA from 1 species
UACGUGGGGUGCAAGCGUUGUUCGGAAUUACUGGGCGUAAAGCGUGUGUAGGCGGCUCACUAAGUCUGGUGUGAAAUCCCCAAGCUUAACUUGGGAACUGCAUCGGAAACUGGUGAGCUCGAGUCCGGGAGAGGGUAGCGGAAUUCCUGGUGUAGAGGUGAAAUUCGUAGAUAUCAGGAGGAACACCGGUGGCGAAGGCGGCUACCUGGACCGGUACUGACGCUGAGGCGCGAAAGCCAGGGGAGCAAACGGG